rnacentral:rRNA from 1 species
UAGGGAAUCUUCGGCAAUGGACGAAAGUCUGACCGAGCAACGCCGCGUGAGUGAAGAAGGUUUUCGGAUCGUAAAACUCUGUUGGUAGAGAAGAACGUUGGUGAGAGUGGAAAGCUCAUCAAGUGACGGUAACUACCCAGAAAGGGACGGCUAACUACGUGCCGG